ACCGAAGGGAGGGAUGAAGCACUGAGGGAGGGCACAGAGAGAGAGAGAGAGAGAGAGAGAGAGAGAGAGAGAAUGAAUCAGGGAACUCAUGCAUUGCAUCAAGGAAAAACCCAUCCUGAGCAAUAGGGGGGGUCGAUGCUGUCGAUGCACAGCAGGGGCACCGGGAGUCUGGACUCUAACCCAGGGGACUUGAGGAAAAGGCAGGGGACACGCUGGAAGGGUGCCAACCAAUCACAGGCACAAUCUCUCACACACCUAUUCACACAGGGCAGGAAUUAAACAUCCAACCUUGAAGGUUUCAGAGAUGACAUUGGGUAAAAAGGCCAGCACUCACUCUGCCCAAGACGUCUAAAACCCUGUUAGUGACGACCAAGAGUGAUUUCUUCACACAAUCAGUGUUGGGUUUGACUGAACUGCUGGAAAGCAACAUGCUGUAGUGAAAUGAAAAUAAAACAUACCGACUGGAAUGGAUGGAAUCUUCAAAAAGCAGUUUGACUAAAAUACUAUAUCUUUUGCACAAAUCUCGAUCGCAACUACAGAUAAACAUUUCAGUUCCACACAUCCAUGUACUGCAGAAAAAAUUCCCCAUGUAAAAGGAUGUUCCCAGGCUCCUAAUGACAAAAA